UUCCUACGGGACGCAGCAGUCGGGAAUAUUGCGCAAUGGAGGAAACUCUGACGCAGUGACGCCGCGUAUAGGACGAAGGUCUUCGGAUUGUAAACUAUUGUCGUUAGGGAAGAGAAAGGACAGUACCUAAGGAGGAAGCUCCGGCUAACUACGUGCCAGCAGCCGCGGUAAUACGUAGGGGGCGAGCGUUAUCCGGAUUCACUGGGUGUAAAGGGAGCGUAGACGGCCAUGCAAGCCAGGGGUGACAGCCCGGCGCACAACCCCGGGACUGCCCUUGGCACUGCAUGGCUGGAGUGCGGGAGGGG
rnacentral:rRNA from 1 species